AUUAUGAAGUCAAAGAGUGCCAGGACCUCACAGACCAUGGCCAGGGAGGACCUGUACCAUGUCCAAAUAUGGGCAUGAGAGGGGUGGGCAGCAUUUUGGCGUCAGCAGUUGCCUGUGUCAUAGUCAAGGAGGAUGGCUACCCUCUUGAGCAUUCAGUCAUUCAUUCAACUUAGGUGCUAGUGAGCACCUGCCACACACGCCUGCUUCUGGGCUAGGCCCUGAUAGAUAAUCCGAGGCCAGGCAGGAGAGCACCAUCCCUAUUUCUUUCCUUGGAGCUGAGACACUGCGGGAAGACUUUUCCUUCAGCAUGAGGCCAGAACACAGGCCUCUGCUGGCAAAGGGCUCUGGCACAGAGCUACAGGCCGGCCUCUUUUUCUCCUUUACUUUGUUCCUUCCUUCCUCUUCUUUUUACCAUGAAUAUUAAUUCCUGCUGUUUCCAAGUUCA